UUGGUGUGUCUGGGCCUUUAAGUAUCACUUGUUAUACUGUACAUGACAAGCAGGGUGUGUGUGUAAUUUCUGUUUUUCUUCCUUUGAUCAUGCCGACCAGAUGCAUGCACUCCCAAAGUGAAAUCAUCAUCAGCCUCCAACAUGCUGCAUCUCUAUUUUUUUUAGUGAGCAAAUGCUGUCAUGCAAGUUUCUUCAAGGUCAGCGGGGGCAGGUACCGCCGGGGUUUCAUAGCUGACAUCGGGCGAUGAAACCAGAGACCCUUAAAAGUUCAGAGUGUCCACUCUGAAUACAGAUGGCGGCCCAGAUGACCCCGUGGUAUUCUUGUCUCCUCUAUGGGCUCUGACAGGAGCCUGACCCUCAGCUGGCUAAACCGAAAACUGAUGCACAUCUCUCUAGUUUUCUUUCUGCUCUGUUCUAAUUUCAUUUCUGUUGGGUAAGUUUUAAGAAAAUUGCCUCCAGAUAGAGAGAAAGACAGAAAGCAAGAAGGUGCAUAAUGUCAUGUUAAUAAAAUAUUAUCUUGUAAAAUCUUCCACAUGCCCAUGCAACAAACUGCUUGUUUCCCAAUACACAGCGUGCAUACAGAGCCAGAGGUCCCCACUCUUGUGCAUGCACAUGCACUUCCACCACCUACGACAAGGCAAUCAAUCCCUGAGAAAAAAACACAAUCUAUUCUGCGAGCUGGAAACCUGAGCAUUGAGAAAACAAGGUCACGUUAUCAAAAUUUUCCACAAGUGAAAACACUUCAACAGAUCAAAGCCUGCACACACGUUAUCUUUAAACUCUUUACUAGCAACAAUAUCUGAUAAAUCCAGAAGUAUAUUACUGUAAUGGACACGCCAUGUUAAUUUGGACACUGAGUAACCCUGUCUCCAUGACAACAUCAAAAGCACCUCCCACCCUGGAGUGGAACCAGUAACCAUGGAGACGUAGACUUCAAUUUGGAGCAAAUUACAGUGCUGGGAGCAGGCAGAGGCUUGAUAGUAGACCUUUCAGUAAAGACGCAUCAAUAAGUCUCUAGUGGGACGGCAUCAAAUAGUGAUUCUCUCAACAGGCCCUAAGUGACGUUUAAGUGCACAACUUGAAGCUCUGUAUUGAUGACCCUUAACCUCCAUCUAUAACUGCUCUGCAUGACGGGUCCUAUAUAGACAACCCCUGGAGGAAGGAAGGAUGGAGAGGAAGAGAAAGAAAGAAAGACGGAGGAGAGGAGGAGGUCAGGCAGAGAGAUCGGCUGCAUACAGCACUUACUCUGAAGACAUGAAGGAGGACAACGGUCCGACCUCCUUUGCCUUCUGCAGAGCGUGCUUCUGGUUGCACGCUCUCUCGGCUUCCUCUUCAUCCUGAUCAAAAGAGGGAAAAGAGCAAAAGGCGACUGAACAACUGGAGCAUCUUUCAUACACAAGGCCAGCCUAUAUUGAAGUGACAGCUUGUGGAAACAGCCAUCGGCUCAGGGGAAAACCAAGCAACAAAGGCUGUGACAAAGAAAGUUUGAAAUCUCGACCGAGCUCACACAGUCUGUUAGUAUAAUGAAAAUAACUGUGGACAGGCUAUAGGACAAUCUACCCUCCCCUAAACUGUGUGCAUUCAAUAAAGAGGAAGCUACUGAUUAAUGA